rnacentral:rRNA from 1 species
AACUAGGAUUAGAUACCCUAUUAUUUUUAACAAAAAAAGGUAAAUACCGUUUAGAGAAACCUUUAUCCUUUGGCGGCCUUUUUCCUUCUUAGAGGAACUUAUUUUCUAAUCGAUACCGCGCGCUAAAUUUCUCUCUUCUUAAGUUUUUAUACCGCCGUCUAAAGACUUUAAUAAAAUUUUUCAUCUUCUAGAUAAAGUAAAAAAGUCAGGUCAAGGUGAAGCUCAUAGAAUAAGACAAAACCGAGUUACUUAUUUUCAAUAAAAAUGGAUUUUACCCUAAAGUUUCCAUGAAAAAGGAUCUAAUAGUAAUAUAACUUUAAAACAGAUGUAUGAACUAGCAA